GUUUAUCAAAAACAUCGCCUCUUGCUAAAAUAGAAGUAUUAGAGGUCCCGCCUGCCCAGUGACAUAAAUGUUAAACGGCCGCGGUAUUCUGACCGUGCUAAGGUAGCGUAAUCACUUGUCUUUUAAAUGAAGACCCGUAUGAACGGCAUCACGAGGGCUCAACUGUCUCCUCUCCCCAGUCAAUGAAAUUGAUCUGCCCGUGCAGAAGCGGACAUAAAAACAUAAGACGAGAAGACCCUAUGGAGCUUAAGACAAAAAGCCAAGCAUGUUAAACAGCCCAUAAACCUAACCGGAAUAAAAGGCAAUCAAGCCCUGUGCUACAUGGCUAAAGUGUCUUCGGUUGGGGCGACCUCGGAGGAAAAACAAGCCUCCGCAUGGAAUGGGGAAACACCCCUAAAACUAAGAAACACAAAUCUAAGUAACAAAAAAUUUGACCAACAAUGACCCGGACCUGAUCCGAUCAAUGAACCAAGUUACCCUAGGGAUAACAGCGCAAUCCCUUCCCAGAGUCCAUAUCGACGAAGGGGCUUACGACCUCGAUGUUGGAUCAGGACAUCCUAAUGGUGCAGCCGCUAUUAAGGGUUCGUUUGUUCAACGAUUAAAGUCCUACGUGAUCUGAGU
rnacentral:rRNA from 1 species